rnacentral:rRNA from 1 species
UACGUAGGGGGCGAGCGUUACCCGGAUUUACUGGGCGUAAAGAGCGUGUAGGCGGCUGGCCAAGCGUGAUGUGAAAUCUUCGGGCUUAACCCGAAAACUGCAUUGCGAACUGGUCUGGCUAGAGUGUGUGAGAGGGUAGUGGAAUUCCCAGUGUAGCGGUGAAAUGCGUAGAUAUUGGGAGGAACACCAGUGGCGAAGGCGGCUCACUGGACCGGAACUGACGCUGAGGCGCGAAAGCGUGGGGAGCAAACGGG